AUAUGUAGUUAUUUCUGCUCCAUGAACAUUAAAUAGCCGCAGUACCCUGACUGUGCAAAGGUAGCAUAAUCAGUUGGCUUUUAAUUGAAGUCUGGUAUGAAGGAAAAUAUGGGUGGUAGCUGUCUUGGCAUAUUUAUUUAAAUUUAUUAAGCAAGUGCAAAUACUUGCUCUUAUACAAAAGACGAGAAGACCCUAGAAACUUGAUGAAGGUUUUGUUGGGGCGACAAAUUUACAUUUAACUAAUUUUUUAAUACAUGACGUGGUACUGAUAGGUUAAGUUACUCUAGGGAUAACAGCAUAAUUUUAACAGUUUGUGACCUCGAUGUUGGACUAGGUUUUUUAUUCUUUAGAUAAGAAUAAAAUAAGCUCUGUUCGAGCAAAUACACCUACAU
rnacentral:rRNA from 1 species